ACAUGCACAAGAGCUACUGAAGUGGAUCCCACACACAGACCUUGGCUGCCAACCUUUUUUUAUGAGACGGAGUUUCACUCUUGUUACCCAGGCUGGAGUGCAAUGGCGUGAUCUCGGCUCACCGCAACCUCCGCCUCCUGGGUUCAGGCAAUUCUCCUGCCUCAGCCUCCUGAGUAGCUGGGAUUACAGGAACGCGUCACCAUGCCCAGCUAAUUUUUUGUAUUUUUUUUUUUUUUUAGUAGAGACGGGGUUUCAUCAUGUUGACCAGGAUGGUCUCGAUCUGUUGACCUCGUGAUCCACCCGCCUCGGCCUCCCAAAGUGCUGGGAUUAUAGGCUUGAGCCACCACGCCCGGCUGGCUGCCAACCUUUUUAAAGCCUCCUGUGUAGGAGGCAGGACGGACUGCUGGGAGAUGAGAGAGCAAUGUCUGAACACCUCUACAGACAGAAGAGAAGAGGCAGAGGAUGAAGCUGGAGGAGUGCAGUGACAUGUCAGUGCUCACCAAUCUGGUGGGAUCUGGGCUCUGGUGGAGGCUGACCCUUGAGAAGGUCCUUGAGGAUGGGAGAACGUCACACUUUUCUGCAGCCCCACAGUGCUUAGCAGACAUCAGACACUCACUUGCUCAUUAUAAGAACCAGCUGACACAGGACAUCCAUAGUAACUAUUAACAGCAAGACACUCUCAGCCAAGUACCAUCUGCAAACCAGUUGGCUCACUAGAGGACAAAUAAUCUCUCAAGUGAAAAAGUAGGAAAGAGGUCUAACAGAACGGGUCGUAGAGAAACAAGAGCCCAUCUGAUGGCACUCAUAUAGCCCACUGUGUCCAGCCCAACUUUAGAAUGGAAAAUAAGCAAGGACCCUUCCUAAGACUCCAAUAUAAAUAUUCAUCAGCAGAGAAAGUUUACGUAUUUUAACAUUCACUUCUACCAAUAACUCUGAAGAAAAAUAAAAGGAAAUCCACGCCUAGAUACAUCGUAGUGAAACUGCAGAACAUCAAAGACAAAGAGAAGAUCUUGAAAGCAGCCAGAGAAAAAGGACAGAUCACCUACAAAGGAACGACAGACAGUUAGAAUGACAGAACUCCACUCAACAAUGGAAUGCAGAAGACAAUGGGAUAAUCACAUAUAUAAGGUGGGAGAGCAAAUAACCAUUAACCUAGAUUUUAGUAUCCAGCAAAACUACUGCACAAGGACACAAAGAAAACACUCACAGGUGAAGAGACUCUUGGAAAAUACACUGCCAACAGACAUGUUCCAAUGAAACUUCCAAAAAAAAAAUACUUCAAAAUAUUGGAAAAUAAUGAUCCCCAAAUAACACUUAGAGAUGUUAAGAAUAAGUAGAAUGAUAAACAGGAGGUAAACCUGAAAAAACAUUGCCUGGAUAAAAUUACAAGAAUGUUGUCCAACUUAUAUAUUUAAAAAAGAUCAAAUUGAAACACUGAAAAGUAAAUUAGGAGAGUAAAGACUGAAGCUCUUCAAAAAUUCGAAAGUCCUUUUACUGUUUGAGAAUGGGGUCAGGAUAUUAACUUUUAGAAUACUAAAUUAAAUUUGCAUGUAAUAUUUCACUGAUAACCACUUAAAAAAAAAACAGCAUGGGCAAGCGUAGUGGCUCAUGCCUACAUUCCCAGCACUUUGGGAGGCCAAUGUGGGCAGAUCAUGAAGUCAGGAGAUCGAGACCAUCCUGGCCAACAUGGUAAAACCCCAUCUCUAUUAAAAAUACAAAAAUUAGCUGGGUGUCAUGGCUCAUGCUUGUAAUCCCAGCUACUCAGGAGGCUGAGGCAGGAGAAUCGCUUGAACCAGGGAGUCAGAGUUUACAGUGAGCCAAGAUUGCGCCCCUGCACUCCAGCCUGGUAACAGACCAAGACUCCAUAUCUCAAAAAAAAAAAAAAAGAAGAACAGAAAUGGUAAUUUUAAAUAGUAAACUAGUUUAUAAUUGUAGAACCAGGGUUAGGGUUUUCAACAAUAACAGUAAUUAAUUAACCUUAAAAAAAAUGAGAAAAAACAGAAAAUACAAAUCAGAAAUGAUGAUGGAAACUAAUCCAACUGUAUCAAUAAUUGUAAUAAAUGUGACUGGUCUAAAUGCUCCAAUAAAAGGCAAACUCAGAUUAGACUAAAAGAUAAAAUCUAGCUUUAUGAUAUAAAAUACAAUAUACAGAUGAUCCUUAAACAACAUGAGUGCUUUAACAACAUUUCCCCACAAAAGUUGAAACCCACAUAUAACUUUCGACUUCCCAAACAUUUAACUACUCCUAUUGUCAAUGUAGCUCCAGUGACAGCUUCAUAAAUUUUUUCUUUUUCUUUUAACCAUGGUCCUUAUGUUAAGUUCAUUUAUCUUGAAAUGGUGAAUAACUGCAGACACAGACCUCAAUCUCUGGUACAUAUUGAGCAAUUCAACUUUUUCUUGUAACGUCAUGACUUUUCCCUACUUCUUAAGAGAAGUCCAGCAUCACUAGUAGCACUUCAUUAUGGAUCCCCUGGUGUUAUUCAAGGUUUACAGUAUUGCACGGAACAAGAUGAAAAAUACGUUAAGAACCGUGAGAUCACCUUUUACAGCAAUACACAGUUUACGGGAGAGCUGAACUGCUUGCACAGAGAUGGUAAGCAUCACACAGCAUUUUAAAUGGACAUUCAAAACACCUCAGCUCACCAUAAAGCAACAGAAGAUAACUACAAAAUUAUUACAGUACAGUAUAUACUACACUGAAUUUUAUAUGGCUACUGCAUUUUCAUGUUUGCUUACAUUUCUCUUAACUACAAAUGGCAUCAUGUAGUCUGUGUGUGCAUAAUUUUGAUAAAUUUAAACUUUUCAUA